GACGAACCGUGCGAACGUUGUUCGGAAUCACUGGGCUUAAAGCGCGCGUAGGCGGCCCUGUAAGUCCGUUGUGAAAGUCAAAGGCUCAACCUUUGAAAGCCGAUGGAUACUGCAGGGCUAGAGUCCGGAAGAGGCGAGUGGAAUUCCUGGUGUAGCGGUGGAAUGCGCAGAUAUCAGGAGGAACACCAAUAGCGAGGGCAGCUCGCUGGGACGGUACUGACGCUAAGGCGCGAAAGCGUGGGGAGCGAACAGG
rnacentral:rRNA from 1 species